AUUGAACGCUGGCGGCAGGCCUAACACAUGCAAGUCGAACGAGUGGCGGACGGGUGAGUAAUGUCUGGGAAACUGCCUGAUGGAGGGGGACAACUACUGGAAACGGUAGCUAAUACCGCAUACCAUCAGAUGUGCUCAGAUUGUAUUAGCUAGUUGGGGGGGUAACGGCUCACCAAGGCUACGAUCCCCAGCUGGUCUGAGAGGAUGACCAGCGACACUGGAGAUAAGACACAGUCCAAACGCCUACGGGAGGCAGCGGUAGAAAAUAUUGCACAGUGGGCACAAGCCUGAUGCGACCAUGGCGCGUAUAUGAAGAAGGCCUUCGGGUUGUAAAGUACUUUCAGCGGGGAGGCGUUACCCGCAGAAGAAGCACCGGCUAACUCCGUGCCAGCAGCCGCGGUAAUUC
rnacentral:rRNA from 1 species